AAGUCGUAACAAGGUUUUCGUAGGUGAACCUGCGGAAGGAUCAUUAACACGUAUCCAAACGUUAAAACCCCCCCCGUGAACCUUCAUCCUGCUCUUGUAACCCGCGUAGUUCGCAAUCUCUGAUAAAUCAUAGCCCGGAAAGUUGUAGUGAUUCAGAGACAGUUCUAUAGGCAAUGUUUCCCCAAGCAGUCAGUGUCGGAAAGUGUCAUUGAUUGUGCAAGGAUAGCGCUUCACCGAUUCCUGUAGACCGUACACUCGGGCAGGAGCUUUGCCAAAGGGUCCCCAUGCCCCCUAAUAACCCCACAGUUUAAUGUGAAGCUCAAUGUAAUACUUUGGGUAAAAAACCGAACAACUGUUAACAAUGGAUAUCUUGGUUCUC
rnacentral:misc_RNA from 1 species